rnacentral:tRNA from 5 species
AUCGUCUAGAGGCCUAGGACACCGCCCUUUCACGGCGGUAACAGGGGUUCGAAUCCCCUUGGGGACGCCA